rnacentral:rRNA from 1 species
CCUACGGGAGGCAGCAGUGAGGAAUAUUGGUCAAUGGGCGCGAGCCUGAACCAGCCAAGUCGCGUGAGGGAAGACGGUCCUAUGGAUUGUAAACCUCUUUUGUCGGGGAGCAAAAGACGCCAUGCGUGGCGUUCCGAGAGUACCCGAAGAAAAAGCAUCGGCUAACUCCGUGCCAGCAGCCGCGGCAAUACGGAGGAUGCGAGCGUUAUCCGGAUUUAUUGGGUUUAAAGGGUGCGCAGGCGGAAGAUCAAGUCAGCGGGAAAAUUGAGAGGCUCAACCUCUUCGAGCCGUUGAAACUGGUUUUCUUGAGUGAGCGAGAGGUAUGCGGAAUGCGUGGUGUAGCGGUGAAAUGCAUAGAUAUAACGCAGAACUCCGGUUGCGAAGGCAGCAUACCGGCGCUCAACUGACGGUCAUGCGCGAAAGUGUGGGUAUCGAACAGGAUUAGAUACCCGAGUAGUC